rnacentral:rRNA from 1 species
GACGAACGCUGGCGGCGUGCUUAACACAUGCAAGUCGAGCGGUAAGGCCUUUCGGGGUACACGAGCGGCGCACGGGUGAGUAACACGUGGGUGAUCUGCCCUGCACUUCGGGAUAAGCCUGGGAAACUGGGUCUAAUACCGGAUAUGACCUCCUAUCGCAUGGUGGGUGGUGGAAAGAUUUAUCGGUGCAGGAUGGGCCCGCGGCCUAUCAGCUUGUUGGUGGGGUAAUGGCCUACCAAGGCGACGACGGGUAGCCGACCUGAGAGGGUGACCGGCCACACUGGGACUGAGACACGGCCCAGACUCCUACGGGAGGCAGCAGUGGGGAAUAUUGCACAAUGGGCGAAAGCCUGAUGCAGCGACGCCGCGUGAGGGAUGACGGCCUUCGGGUUGUAAACCUCUUUCAGCAGGGACGAAGCGCAAGUGACGGUACCUGCAGAAGAAGCACCGGCUAACUACGUG